GGGGGCGACCUGGCUUCGACGGGGGUGCAGAAUCGUGGGAUGCAUGCCGAGCUCCACUAACUCGCAAAUCUGGUGGGACAUCCGUUAACUGCGGACAAUCAGUACGCUCUCGCAGCCUAAACCGCUGUGAGCGUCUUGCCUGACCUCGCCUGGUGGUUGGGGCCAAGACGCCAUUAAACAGGCUGGCUCUCGCGUGGCGCCACGGCGCGCGAGGGUGAGAUUUACCGGGGCUGGCGCCUGCCGGUACUUCGCCGCUUCCACACGGCGGGCGCGAGAACCACGAAGCGGACACGCAUGUAGAGUCCUGCGAGGACGUUCUCUCGGACGCGGGUUCGACUCCCGCCGCCUCCACCA
rnacentral:tmRNA from 1 species